UGCUACUACCGGAUAACAGCGCUUGACGCCUGUCUAUAGUUUGAACCAUGGUUCUGCUAUCACUCUUGGAUGGACCUGCAGUGCAUUUACCUAGUUGGUAAGGUAACGGCUUACCAAGGCAAUGAUGCAUUAGCCGAGUUGAGAGACUGAUCGGCCACAUUGGGACUGAGACACGGCCCAAACUCCUACGGGAGGCAGCAGUAGGGAAUCUUCCACAAUGGACGAAAGUCUGAUGGAGCAACGCCGCGUGAGUGAAGAAGGGUUUCGGCUCGUAAAGCUCUGUUGGUAGUGAAGAAAGAUAGAGGUAGUAACUGGCCUUUAUUUGACGGUAAUUACUUAGAAAGUCACGGCUAACUACGUGCCAGCAGCCGCGGUAAUACGUAGGUGGCAAGCGUUGUCCGGAUUUAUUGGGCGUAAAGCGAGUGCAGGCGGUUCAAUAAGUCUGAUGUGAAAGCCUUCGGCUCAACCGGAGAAUUGCAUCAGAAACUGUUGAACUUGAGUGCAGAAGAGGAGAGUGGAACUCCAUGUGUAGCGGUGGAAUGCGUAGAUAUAUGGAAGAACACCAGUGGCGAAGGCGGCUCUCUGGUUUGCAACUGACGCUGAGGCUCGAAAGCAUGGGUAGCGAACAGGAUUAGAUACCCUGGUAGUCCAUGCCGUAAACGAUGCAGUGCUAAGUGUUGGGAGGUUUCCGCCUCUCUAGUGCUGCAGCUAACUGCACUAAGCAUUCCGCGUGGGGAGUAAGUCAGCACGGUCGAAACUCAAAGGAAUUGUCGGGGGCUCGCUCUAGCGGAGGAGCAUAUGGUUUAAUUCGAAGCACCGUGAAGAACCUUGCCAGGUCUUUACAUCCAGUGCUAACCUAAGAGAUAAGGUGUUCCCUUCGGGCAUGCUGAGACAGGUGGGGCAGGGUUGUAGUCAGAUCGUGUCGGGAGAGUUUGUGUUAUGUCCCGCAAAGAGCGCCACCCUUGUCAUUAGUCGCCAUCAAUAAGUUGGGCCCUCUAAGGACCAUCCCGGAGACAAACCGGAGGAAUGUGGGGAAGACGUCAAGUCAUCAUGCCCUUUAUGUCCUGGGCUACACUCGUGUUACAAUGGACGGUACAAUGAGAAGGGAACGUGAGAAGGCAAGCGGUUCUCUGUAAGCCGUUCUCAGUUAUGUAUGUUGGUUGCAACUAACCUACAAGAAGAUGGAAUCGAUAGUAAUCGCGGAUCAGCAAGCAGCGGUGAAUACGUUCCUGGUCCUGGCACUCACCGCCCUUCA
rnacentral:rRNA from 1 species